rnacentral:rRNA from 1 species
CACUCCUGCGGGAGGCAGCAGUGGGGAAUAUUGGACAAUGGGCGCAAGCCUGAUCCAGCCAUGCCGCGUGAGUGAUGAAGGCCCUAGGGUUGUAAAGCUCUUUCACCGGAGAAGAUAAUGACGGUAUCCGGAGAAGAAGCCCCGGCUAACUUCGUGCCAGCAGCCGCGGUAAUACGAAGGGGGCUAGCGUUGUUCGGAAUUACUGGGCGUAAAGCGCACGUAGGCGGAUCGAUCAGUCAGGGGUGAAAUCCCAGGGCUCAACCCUGGAACUGCCUUUGAUACUGUCGAUCUGGAGUAUGGAAGAGGUGAGUGGAAUUCCGAGUGUAGAGGUGAAAUUCGUAGAUAUUCGGAGGAACACCAGUGGCGAAGGCGGCUCACUGGUCCAUUACUGACGCUGAGGUGCGAAAGCGUGGGGAGCAAACAGGAUUAGAAACCCGUGUAGUCC